UCAGUCGACUCCUACGGGGAGGCAGCAGUGGGGAAUAUUGCACAAUGGGGGAAACCCUGAUGCAGCCAUGCCGCGUGUGUGAAGAAGGACCUUCGGGUUGUAAAGCACUUUCAGUAGGGAGGAAGGUAGUGUAGUUAACACCUGCACUAUUUGACGUUACCUACAGAAGAAGCACCGGCUAACUCCGUGCCAGCAGCCGCGGUAAUACGGAGGGUGCGAGCGUUAAUCGGAAUUACUGGGCGUAAAGCGCAUGCAGGCGGCCUGUUAAGUCAGAUGUGAAAGCCCGGGGCUUAACCUCGGAAUUGCAUUUGAAACUGGCAGGCUAGAGUCUUGUAGAGGGGGGUAGGAAUUUCAGGUGUAGCGGUGAAAUGCGUAGAGAUCUGAAGGAAUACCAGUGGCGAAGGCGGCCCCCUGGACAAAGACUGACGCUCAGAUGCGAAAGCGUGGGGAGCAAACAGGAUUAGAUACCCUGGUAG
rnacentral:rRNA from 1 species